rnacentral:piRNA from 1 species
UGCUCAGGUUCCACUGGCUCAACUGUCAC